GUAGGCCUAUUUAAAUAAGUAAAGGGAAAGAAAUAGGCUAUUAUGUUGGCUAACACCAGACUUGUUCAGUUUUAUCUGUCUUUAUUUUAAUGAAUCUUGACAUCUGAAAUUGCUAUCUUACACCAUGCAGUCAUCAUCAACAGCACUAUUUUGUCUGAACAGAACAGUGUGGUAGCCUAUUAGGUACAGGACAGAGAUACAUCUUGUGGUGAACAUAUGGCGCAUGAUGAGACAAAUGGGCUAAAUAUGAUUUAUGUCAAGAGUUUCUCUUUAACUUAUGAAAACCGUUGUCUGAACAACAUUGUCCCUUGUACAAUAAAUCUCAUUGAUAGUUGACUCACAAGCGCUUUCUUUGCAAAUGUUUCAGACUAAGAGUUACUAACAGUGACCAAAGACACUUCAGAAGCAAGAGCGACAGAUGGAGAGAGAGAAAGAGAGAGAGCGAGAGAGAAGCAAUAAGAUAAAUUACAUUUAAAACAGGAAAUGACAUUCAGCUCAGGAAUUUGACACACGCCAACAGUCAUCCUUCAGUCAUCAUGAUAAUACCUUAAGGAAGGGUCAUUCAUAUGUAGUGGAGAGAGUAAAUCCAGAAAGACCAAACAUGAAAUCCCUGAUAAACCCUAGAACUCAAACACUUCAGUUCCGACGAGCCCAUACACUGCCAGAUCUACUGAUGGGCUGAUCAGCAUCAUUGCAGUGGGGAAACAACCAAUCACACGUCUCAUCAUCUCUUCAACUUCAGAUUACCACAGGAAUGAGGAGUCUGGAGUCCCAGUAAAGGCAGAGUGGUGAGAGAAGGAGAGGAGGAUUGGUCCCAGUGGUUAGAGAGAGAGAUAGCAAGGUCCAUGGGGAAAGAGAAUAUCCCAGACAGUCCUGGAGUGGGGUCCGGUCCCAAAUGGAGAGGAGAUAUGGUCUGUACAUCCAGCUGGAAAAUCCAGCUUCCACCUGCAGCUGUGAAAAAAAGAGAGAAAGACUCAGGGAGAGACUCAGAAAGAGAUUGUUUAUGGUUUGAUUGCCUGGUAUGCAGGUAAUAGUGUUAGAUUGAUGUAUUCAGCUAACAUGAGGUCAUGAAAGGGACAAAAA
ensembl:lncRNA